rnacentral:rRNA from 1 species
ACGCGACGCUGGCGGCGUGCCUAUACAUGCAGUCGAGCGGACAGAUGGGAGCUUGCUCCCUGAUGUUAGCGGCGGACGGGUGAGUAACACGUGGGUAACCUGCCUGUAAGACUGGGAUAACUCCGGGAAACCGGGGCUAAUACCGGAUGGUUGUUUGGACCGAUGGGACAACAUAAAUUCGGCUUCGCCACCCCAUUUGAAGGCCCCCAUCCGAAAUGAAAGUUGGUGGGGGAAUGGGUUUACACGCCAAUUGCGUACGACCUGAUAGGGUGAUCGGCCACACUGGGACUGAACCGGCCAGACUCCUAGGGAGGCACUAACGAAUCUUCCCAAUGGACGAAAGUCUGACGACAAGCCCGGAGUGAGGAGGUUUUCGGAUCGUAAAGCUCUGUUGUUAGGGAAAACAGUACCGUUCGAAUAGGGGCGGUACCUUGACGGUACCUAACCAAAAGGCCCGGGUUACUACGUGCCACCGGCCGCGGUAAUACGUAGGUGGAAGCGUUGUCCGGAAUUAUUGGGCGUAAAGGGCUCGCAGGGGUUUCUUAAGUCUGAUGUGAAAGCCCCCGGCUCAACCGGGGAGGUUAUUGGAAACUGGGGAACUUGAGUGCAAAAGAGGAGAGUGGAUUCCACGUGUACCGUGAAAUGCGAAAACAUGUGAAGAACACCUUGGCAAGGCGAUUUUUUGGCCUGUAAUUGAACUGAAGACCAAACCGGGGUAACGAUGGUGUUAAUGGUAGGGGUUUCCCCCCCUUAGGUGGGGUAACCAUUACCCUCCGCUGGGGAGUCCGGCCCAAAUGAACCCCAAGGAUUGGCGGGGGCCCCCCAAAAGGGGGAAAAGGGUUAAU